AGAGUUUGAUCCUGGCUCAGGAUUAACGCUGGCGGCGUGCAUGAAACAUGCAAGUCGAGCGCGGUGCACAGUGGGGUAACUUGCUGUGCAUCUAGCGGCGAACGGGUGAGUAACACGUGAGCAAUCUGCCUUUGAGUCGGGGAUAGCCCUGGGAAACCAGGAUUAAUACCCGAUGUGGUCACGACACGACAUCGCGUUGU
rnacentral:rRNA from 1 species